UUUAGGGUUUUAAGAUUUAGUAUUUUUGAUUUAGAGUAUGAAUUAUCCAAGGGUUUGGAGUUUGUCCAAGGGUUUAUAGGGUUUAUGAUUUAGGGUUUAGGGAUUAGGAUUUAGGGUAUAGUAUUUUGCUGAUAACGAUAAAAAUAUUUUUUUUUUUUAAAUUCGUUUUUCCCUAACUACUAUUUUUUCUAAUUUUUUAACUUUUUUAUUUUAAAAACAUAAUAUAUCUUGACAAUAUUUUGUUUCUUUUUCUUAAAGAUAUCGAAUUUGAAAUAAUGAAAUCCUAUUGGUUGGUGAACCUAGAGGUUCACCCUAGGGGGUGGACCCAAGAAUAACUCUUUUUUAAAAGAUUUCAAAUAUAAAAUAAAACAAUUUUAUUGGUUGGUGAACCUAGAGGUUCACCCUAGGGAGUGAACCCAAGAAUAAGUCAACAUUAUAUUGCUAACAGUUCAAUUAGUCCACUUUGACAUCUUUUUACAUGACAACUGAACAUUAGUUUUUACACUCUAUUGAACAUUAUGUAUUCUGUUUUUUUUUUUAUCUCUUACACAUACCUAUGGUACACAAUUCUUAGAUAUUGUGGGAACCGAAAUUCACACUGUCGAUUUCCGUUUAAAUAAGGAAACUAGGAAAACCCUAAUUUCCCAGAGGACCC
rnacentral:lncRNA from 1 species